AUGUAAUGUAAUGCCUACAACGUUAAUGUAUUAGAUCUCAUUAUAACUCCAUAAUUAAGCUUGCUUCGGCUAGAGUAGUACUGGGAUGGGUGACCUCCUGGGAAGUUCUAGCGUUUUACAUG
rnacentral:rRNA from 1 species